rnacentral:ncRNA from 1 species
UCAUAUUCUAGUAUGAGAAAUUAACGAUUUAAGUCCUUCUUAAAUGAGGCCAUUUACCCAUAGAGGGUGCCAGGCCCGUAUAACGUUAAUGAUUACUAGAUGAUGUUUCCAAAGAGUCGUGUUGCUUGAUAGUGCAGCACUAAGUGGGUGGUAAACUCCAUCUAAAACUAAAUAUAACCAUGAGACCGAUAGUAAACAAGUACCGUGAGGGAAAGUUGAAAAGAACUCUGAAUAGAGAGUUAAACAGUACGUGAAACUGCUUAGAGGUUAAGCCCGAUGAACCUGAAUAUCCGUUAUGGAAAAUUCAUCAUUAAAGUUGUAAUAUUUUAACAAUAUUAUAAUAAUAGUGUGCAUUUUUUCCAUAUAAGGACAUUGUAAUCUAUUAGCAUAUAACAAAUUUAUCAUAAAAUAUGACUUAUAGUUUAUUCAAAUUAUUAUGCUUGCAUUUUAACAUAGAAUAAAUGUCAUUAAUUUGAUAAAGUGUUGAUAAAUUAAAAUUAAUACAGUGCGUUAAUUUUUCGAAAUUAUAUAAUGGCAUAAUUAUCAUUGAUUUUUGUGUUUAUUAUAUGCAUUUGUAUGAUUAACAAUGCGAAAGAUUCAGGAUACCUUCGGGACCCGUCUUGAAACACGGACCAAGGAGUCUAACAUAUGUGCAAGUUAUUGGGAGAUAAACCCUAAUAGCGUAAUUAACUUGACUAAUAAUGGGAUUAGUUUUUUAACUAUUUAUAGAUAAUUAACACAAUCUCCGGGGCCGUUCUAUAUAGUUAUGUAUAAUAAUAUUUAUAUUAUUUAUGCCUCUAACUGGAACGUACCUUGAGCAUAUAUGCUGUGACCCGAAAGAUGGUGAACUAUACUUGAUCAGGUUGAAGUCAGGGGAAACCCUGAUGGAAGACCGAAACAGUUCUGACGUGCAAAUCGAUUGUCAGAAUUGAGUAUAGGGGCGAAAGACCAAUCGAACCAUCUAGUAGCUGGUUCCUUCCGAAGUUUCCCUCAGGAUAGCUGGUGCAUUUUAAUGUUAUAUAAAAUAAUCUUAUCUGGUAAAGCGAAUGAUUAGAGGCCUUAGGGUCGAAACGAUCUUAACCUAUUCUCAAACUUUAAAUGGGUAAGAACCUUAACUUUCUUGAUAUGAAGUUUAAGGUUAUGAUAUAAUGUGCCCAGUGGGCCACUUUUGGUAAGCAGAACUGGCGCUGUGGGAUGAACCAAACGUAAUGUUACGGUGCCCAAAUUAACAACUCUUGCAGAAACCAUGAAAGGCGUUGGUUGCUUAAAACAGCAGGACGGUGAUCAUGUAAGUCGACAUCCGCUAACGAGUGUGUAACAACUCACCUGCCGAAAGCAACUAGCCCUUAAAUGGAUGG